AUUGAACGCUGGCGGCGGGCCUAACACAUGCAAGUCGAACGAGUGGCGGACGGGUGAGUAAUGUCUGGGCAACUGCCCGAUGGAGGGGGAUAACUACUGGAAACGGUAGCUAAUACCGCAUACCAUCGGAUGUGCCCAGAUGGGAUUGGCUAGUAGGUGGGGUAACGGCUCACCUAGGCGACGAUCCCUAGCUGGUCUGAGAGGAUGACCAGCAACACUGGAACUGAGACAAGGAGCAGAAUCGUACGGGAGGAAGCAGGGGGGAAUAUUGCACAAUGGGCGCAGGCCUGAUGCAGCCAGGCCGCGUGUAUGAAGAAGGCCUUCGGGUUGUAAAGUACUUUCAGCGAGGAGGCGGUACUCGCAGAGGAAGCACCGGCUAACUCCGUGCCAGCAGCCGCGGUAAUAC
rnacentral:rRNA from 1 species